AAAAAAACACGAAUCGUUCAUUCGUUUGGGAAUUUUGGAGAGGAAUACAAUAUCAGCUGGACCAAACACCUUCUAGGGUUCCCCAGAGUUCUAUAAAUUUUCAGAAAACCCUAAACCCAAUAUUUUAAGUGUUAAACCAACAUCUUAUACCUCAUAAGCACCGAGGCGCAUAGCAUUCAUUCGGAAUUCGAAGAAUGAGAUCUAAGUCUAUAGUUCCUUGUUUCAGAUUUAAGCUAUCCUCAAAGUUUUACUGUUUAUGUUUACUUACUUCUGAUUCUUAGUGUUAUAUACGAGCAUCAGUGAUGAGCAAAUUCAAAAUUGUUAUCCUUGCACUUUGAUUACCCGUGAAGAAGCUUAUGGGGAAUUAUUUCUCUGAGGUGCUCUGUUUACAAAUCAAUAUCUCAUUUUCACUAUCGAAAAAAUUUAUCAUUGUGAUUUAUUCGUUAAAGGAAUUGGGUGGUUGGAUUUUCUGGAUCCGUGAUGUUAUUUUUUAAACUGCGUUAUCUAUCUGAAACUUCCUAAAGGAAUUGAAGAUAACAUAACUUGCUGAGAUCCAUCGAUUAUUUACCCUGUUCAUUCCUAAUCACGUAACUACCUUUCGCUGUUAAAUAUCGUUGCCAUAAAUGCUUUGGUAAAUGGAUGUUCGAAUGUUUGAUGAUUGGUAGUGAAAGUUAUGUCAAGUGACAUGUUUGUGUGUGAUACUCUGAUUUUUUAGAUUUUAAUUUAAUUUUCGAACCUCUAUUUUAUAUCUUUGAUUUGAAUCUAUUUCGCUGAUAGAACUGUUAUUCUUUAGGCCUCAAACGGAUAUUGAUAGGAACUAUGUUUUUAUUGCUAGUUUAUGUCCUCAUUGUCUUUAGUGUUUGAUACAUUUGGAUUAAGAUAUGAGAUCAACAGUGGCAGUUAGAAACUGUAAUGUAUUUGCAAUUCUUUUCCAAGGAACUGAAGCUAACUGUAAUAUGACUUACUACAAUUCAGUGAUUCUUUAAGGUGCUGCCAUCCGUGCCAACUAAGGCUACAUGUACCAAGGGAAGGGUGAAUUCAGUACUCUUCAUCUUGAAUGUGCCAUUCCGGCUGUAGCCAAAUUGAAAUUCGGUUAGGGAAGUUUACUGGCCGGUUGUUGUUAGAUCCAUUUUUGGGUCUCGUCGACAAAUCUGCUUACCGAGCUUCUCACACUCAUUCAAUAGGGAUAGCUAUGGGGU